CAAUUCCAGCAGUUGCGGUCUGUUGAAAGCAUGUUUUCUCAGAAUCAUUUCUAUAGCUUAAAAAUGAAAUGGUACUAGGAGCCCCAUGGUAAACCUGCAGUACUGCAGUAAAACUCAGUUCACCUCUUGAGUUCUAUCCUGAGCUCAGGUUGACUCAGCCUUCUGUCCUUAAAAGGUAUUUUUGCCAAGAUCCACCUCAGAGAGCAGUAACUUUGCUAACCAGCACUCACUCAAGAAGCCUGAGAGGCAGGCCAAAAUUGCCUACGAUUACUCAGAAGAGGAGCUGAUGGCAACAAUUGAGCAAGAGUACUGUCGCUGAAGUCAGGGCUGCGUGGGCCUGACUUUAGAGAGGCACACGGUGGGUCAAGAUGAUUAAACAACAAUGCCGGGUGGGGAGAGACAGGUCCCAGUCUGCACAGGAAAAUGACCCUGCCCAAGAAGCUGACGGUGGAGGCCCUGUUCUCUGGAACAUGUGGCACAAAAAUGGUGUUUGUACAACUUCUGGUGCUGUGGAGUCAGAAUGCCGUUUUGGGGAUGGGCCGGUUGGAAGAGGCUGAAUAUAUUUUGGAGAACAAAACCUCAAAGCAGGGACACAGUGACUAUCCAGUUUAAUUUCUCUCUUAAAAUUUGAAAAUUGGAAGAGCCACUUUUCUUCACCCUUUGGGGAGAUGCUCAGUGAGGGACUUGAAUGCGUUAUUAUGACCUCUUAUGCUCUUUGCCUCAGUUUUCUUAGAACUGUGAGCCACGGUGAAUCUUUUCUGUCAUAAAACCCAAACCUGCACAUUAACGUAUGUGCCUCUCUGUGUUGUUGGUGGAUAUUCGCCUCUUGGCAGUUGUAAAUUCUCCUUAAAACUAGAAUGAAUUAGAAUGGAUUUAAUAAUGCCGCCAUCCUAAUGAAACAAACAAACAAAAAACCAAACAGAAAAGGAAAAACGAGUUAUAGCAUCUUUAAGACAGAUAGAGCUAUUUAAACAUGAGUUUUUGUGGGUUAUCAUCCACUUCAUCAAAUGCAUUGAGCCAACCCAAUAUUCACGUUUUUAGUGCACACACAUAGAAUCAUGUCACAGGAAUCAAAAUGAGAUGGGAUACAGAAAGAGGAAGCACUUACCUAUGUAGCUAUCUUCGUGCUUUUUACUGGGGUGUUGUAGACCCAGCCAAAAAUGUCUUUGGAAAAAGACACAUACUUAGAAAUGACAUUUUGGGAUCUCUUGAACUAUUCAUCCCAUAAUUCCUUAUUCUGGGAGUUUUGUCUGAUUUACACACGCCUUACCAAC